rnacentral:rRNA from 1 species
AUUGAACGCUGGCGACAUGCCUUACACAUGCAAGUCGAACGGCAGCACGGGUGCUUGCACCUGGUGGCGAGUGGCGAACGGGUGAGUAAUACAUCGGAACAUGUCCUGUAGUGGGGGAUAGCCCGGCGAAAGCCGGAUUAAUACCGCAUACGAUCUACGGAUGAAAGCGGGGGACCUUCGGGCCUCGCGCUUUAGGGUUGGCCGAUGGCUGAUUAGCUAGUUGGUGGGGUAAAGGCCUACCAAGGCGACGAUCAGUAGCUGGUCUGAGAGGACGACCAGUCACACUGGGACUGAGACACGGCCCAGACUCCUACGGGAGGCAGCAGUGGGGAAUUUUGGACAAUGGGCGAAAGCCUGAUCCAGCAAUGCCGCGUGUGUGAAGAAGGCCUUCGGGUUGUAAAGCACUUUUGUCCGGAAAGAAAUCCUUGGCCCUAAUACGGUCGGGGGAUGACGGUACCGGAAGAAUAAGCACCGGCUAACUACGUG